rnacentral:lncRNA from 1 species
AUGAAAGUCAUGUUGUAGGAGUCCUUAUAGCUGCUUAUGGGAGGACAGAAGCAGAGAAUACCACAUCUUUUUAACACCAGAAGAGAAAGAACAUGGAGAGUUUCAGGAGAACUGAGUGUGAGAGCAGUGUUUCACUGAAAGACCUGGCAGGAAUCCAGGAAUAAAAAAAUAAUCAGCUGUUUAAGUUUUAGCUGCCAUGGUUGAAUUCUUAUAUUAGAAAAUAUAAGGUCUAUCAUAAUCCAUGUGCAGGCUGAUGAAUUUGAUUGUGUGAGAUUCUUCACUGACCCAAAACAGAUGAACAGGGAAGAGAUAGUACAAUCUGUGAUGGUACUGUGCUGCAGAAGCAGACUAGAAAACCAAGGGGAGGAAAAGUUCCUGCAUACUGGUGCAAGAGGAGAAGACAAAGAUUUGCCUCAUGCGGCUUUGUUGUGACUUAAAGUGGUGUCUGUAGUGGGAAGAGGAGCUGCUGUAUCCCAAGUGGAAUCCCUGAUGCUGCCUCUACUAUCCACUGAAGGACUCAUCAUUGUGUGAAUAUUCCAUGAGUGGAUGAAUAACACUUUGGCACCUCUUCACACUUCCCAUCAUCAGAAAGGUGAUGCUGGGGAAAGAAUAACCAUUGCAUUUUUAUUCUAGAAAAGCAUAACAUAGAGAAGGACGUGCUCUCUCUACUGUUUCUUUGAACACUUCUGUCAGCACUAGUCUCCCUGCAAUCCCUUUCUUUUCCUUAGUACGAGGGAGUGGCUAUCAAGAAGAUGUGCUCCAUGACUCUGGGUGGUACUUAGUACGAGUCAAUGAACAUUGAAUUUUCACAGCAAAGUAAUUCAACUUGCUCUCAUUGCACAGCUCUGUAGAGGCCAGGCUUCAACCAUUCUCUUCAGUGUGGGCACUAUGUCAUUUCUCUGGUUACCAUUGAAUCUCCAAGUUUCUGUCACUUGCUUUUUCUUCUUGCAGUAACCUAAGGAACGAAUGCUGUUGAUCAACAAGCAGGUAGCUUAAAUAUUAAGAGAAAUGUAGUACAGGUAUGCCAGGGUGCGGGGACUUCAGUCUGAAAUACCUUCCAUAAAUAAAAGAUCAUAUGAUUAUUGUACUUUCCCA